rnacentral:rRNA from 1 species
UACGUAGGGUCCGAGCGUUGUCCGGAAUUACUGGGCGUAAAGCGUGCGCAGGCGGCUUCUUAGGCAUGACGUGAAAGCCCGGAGCUCAACUCCGGGUCGGCCGUCGAUACUUCCGGGCUUGAGCACUGUAGAGGCAGAUGGAAUUCCGGGUGUAGCGGUGGAAUGCGUAGAGAUCCGGAAGAACACCGGUGGCGAAGGCGGUCUGCUGGGCAGUUGCUGACGCUGAUGCGCGGCAGCGUGGGGAGCAAACAGG